rnacentral:lncRNA from 1 species
AGAGUGUCGAGGAGACUUGGACCAACAGCGAUGAAGGUUCUGGUGGUGAUGGAUCUACUAGCCAUGGAGAAAAUGGAGGACAGUAUGGUACUACUUAUGAGACACAGUCGGAGGGAGGUUUUCGAUACACCGGUGAGUCUCAGUUUACGCAUGCUACACAAGAUACGGAUCACGGUAGGCCGUCUGAUAUAGGCCGGUCGGAUACCAUUGCAUAUCGAAGAAGAGCUCCUCGAGGUCGUUCAAGAGGCCAGGAUGCAGCUGCAGAUGACCUCCCAUGUGGAGUCGGAUCCAUUGAUGUAUCAAGUUCCGAGUCUUCCUAUUAUCCGCGGCCUUAGCCAGCCUAUGGAUAUGGUGCAUCGGAGUCAUCUUCCGGUGGCUACUACCCUGCGCAGCC